UGGGGAAUCUUGGACAAUGGGGGCAACCCUGAUCCAGCCAUGCCGCGUGAGUGAUGAAGGCCUUAGGGUCGUAAAGCUCUUUCGCCUGUGAAGAUAAUGACGGUAGCAGGUAAAGAAACCCCGGCUAACUCCGUGCCAGCAGCCGCGGUAAUACGGAGGGGGCAAGCGUUGUUCGGAAUUACUGGGCGUAAAGGGCGUGUAGGCGGUCUAAUCAGUCAGUGGUGAAAGCCCUGGGCUCAACCCAGGAAUUGCCUUUGAUACUGUUAGACUAGAGUUCGGGAGAGGAUAGUGGAAUUCCCAGUGUAGAGGUGAAAUUCGUAGAUAUUGGGAAGAACACCAGUGGCGAAGGCGGCUAUCUGGACCGAUACUGACGCUGAGGCGCGAAAGCGUGGGGAGCAAACAGGAUUAGAUACCCUGGUAGUCCACGCCGUAAACGGUGGGCGCUAGGUGUGGGGAUCGUUUCCACGAUCUCCGUGCCGUAGCUAACGCAUUAAGCGCCCC
rnacentral:rRNA from 1 species